rnacentral:rRNA from 1 species
UACGUAGGGGGCAAGCGUUGUCCGGAUUUAUUGGGCGUAAAGAGCGUGUAGGCGGCUAGGUAGGUCCGUUGUGAAAACUCGAGGCUCAACCUCGAGACGUCGAUGGAAACCAUCUAGCUAGAGUCCGGAAGAGGAGAGUGGAAUUCCUGGUGUAGCGGUGAAAUGCGCAGAUAUCAGGAAGAACACCCGUGGCGAAGGCGGGUCUCUGGGCCAUAACUGACGCUGAGGAGCGAAAGCGUGGGGAGCGAACAGG